AUCCUCCUACGGGGCGCAGCAGUAGGGAAUCUUCCACAAUGGACGAAAGUCUGAUGGAGCAACGCCGCGUGAGUGAAGAAGGGUUUCGGCUCGUAAAACUCUGUUGGUAGUGAAGAAAGAUAGAGGUAGUAACUGGCCUUUAUUUGACAGUAAUUACUUAGAAAGUCACGGCUAACUACGUGCCAGCAGCCGCGGUAAUACGUAGGUGGCAAGCGUUGUCCGGAUUUAUUGGGCGUAAAGCGAGUGCAGGCGGUUCCA
rnacentral:rRNA from 1 species